ensembl:lncRNA
AAGCUCAGAACGGCCUAAACCCAGUGUCGUGAUGUAGUUCAGUUGAGCACUGCUGCUCGGCAGACUUGUCUCGGGCACAACUGGUGAUAAAUAUAUAGGCUAGAUAAAAAGCUAUCAUUGUAAUUUGGUUCUUGAAAUGUCGGCUUGCUUGGCAGAAAGACUUGGCUCGGUUAUGAUGAGUAUUCCUUGCCGGUCACUACAAUGGCUUGCACUCUUUACUAAUGAAUACAUGACCAUGAAAUGUUGCUGAUGAAUUUAUGUUCAUGCAUUUUAUCUCCUGUUAUUAUUGACUUCUGUUUGGCUUGAUUCAAGGACACCAUCCAUCCUUGCUGCUUAUUUUUUUCACAGAGAAAUGUGAUGGAAAUUCUGAAAUGAAAGAACUCGUACAUAGAGCUUCAGUAAGACCUCAUAUAAAAAUGAAGCAAUGUCGCCACCCUCAGUUAAAAUGACACUCCUAGGUGUAAUGAUGAUUAUGAUGCUACUUUAGACAUUCUUACAUUUUUAUAAAUAUAAUCUUUUAAAUAAAAUAUAAAUAUCUCAUAUAUAUAUGAAACACAUAUAUAAUGGUUUUAUUUGUGUCCUAUGUCUAUAGGUUAAAUUUGGCUAAUAAUUUAAGGGCGUGUCCUGCUGAAGUUCACCUAGCCUAGGUUACUCAUUAAUAUGACUUGGGUAGCCUACACGGUUUCAUUUGGAAGUAUUUAGAUCGUUCUAAAAUUCAUCAUUUUACUUGAUCUUAUCUGAAACGACUGUCUUGGAGGAAAGAUAUAGCUAAUAUUGCGCUUUGCAAAGUUCUCCAAAGUUCCACUCUCUUUGAGGCACGUGUGACAGGCUUUCACUCUAGGCUACAAAGUAUACUUUUCCUGAGGUCCCAUGACACUGACGUCACCUUGUGUUUCAGAUCAGAUGAUAAACUAUUUACUUCCCGAGAUGACUGAGGUGAUGCAGUUUCAAGAUAUUUCAUAAUGCCGUUUACGAACGUACUUUGUUGCUGUUUCAGGUCCUCAGAGAACACCCUACAACCGAACGAGGAAGUUUCCAACGAGAGACAACCUCUUUUGCAAGGGCAACCACAGUCUGCACGCCAGUCUCGUCCAGCACAUAAUGACGCAUCCCAGAGAAGUGGCAGGUUUAUUGCCCGGCACGUUGGCAUCCCUGAACUUGAUCAGCGCUUUGAAGAUGUAGCCGAGAUGUUCAACCUGCAGCAAGGGCACCAUGAGGCCAUGAGAGAAUGCCUCAGCACACUCAGGGACCGCUACCACUGUUCCCAUGGCGAUGGACUGAGUGAGUGCUUGAAGAGAAUCAAAGAAGAGCAUGGCACACAUCAAAUCACCUUCCACAUGAAAGGCUACGACUUCUCCCUGGCAGUGGUGCCAAACGAUGAGGUGCCCACCAAGCUAUGCAGUAGCCAGGACCGCAUCCGUGGCCUCUGCCAGGCUUGUAAGGCCAUCGUGGCCGCUGGCACCAAGCUCCAGGAGAUGAUUGGCUGGCUGACAAAGGCAGAGGAGCGGCUGGCCAAUCAGGUGCUGGAGGUGGCCCCCGCCUACCAGGAACAGCGCAGGCUGGAGGACAACCUGAGGGAGAACCUGCAGGAGUGCCAUAGAGCCAGAGAGCUGUCCUCCGCCUACAGGGAGGAGGCCGGGAAGCUCCUUAAUGAAGCAGCGCUGCUGUCGGGCGUCAACCCCUGAUACUCACCCUGACCUUCUACUCUCCUAUCCUAUUCCCCAGGAGCCUAGGUCUAGAUACAGGCACUCUUUGUGGUUCUGAUAUGCUCUGAUAUUUUUGAAAAUGUAAGGAACUUUAAAGCCACUGCAGGUCUAAAGGGAGGAUUUGGGCAUACAGGGUUGCGAAGUUGAUGUCUGUGUAGAGGCAGUGUAUGAAACAUGCUAAAGCCAUUGCACUGAUGUGAUAUCAUCACUCCAUAUCUGCAUCAAAAGGAAUACAUUUAAGAGUUUAUUCAUGUUAUGUAUUGCAUUAGGUAUUAGGCUUUUUGGGGGCCCACUGUGUAGAAUUGUAAUUCAGUGUCCCCCUCACCAUUGCCUGAGAAAUGAAUUAUAAGUAAUGUUAGUCUUGAAAGGAACUGCUGUAGGAAAGUCAUUAUUUGCAUGUGUUUGUGGAUAUGCAGGACUGAGAGCAACUCUACUGAUUUAUAACAGUCAUUAUUCGUCACAUUCCUUGUGCAAACAAUCCUUUUAAGGCAUCACCUUUUCACACAGGGAGGCAUAGAAAGCCUAGAAGCAUUGACAGCCCUAUUCAUCACUUUAACAUUUGUUUAUGAAAGAGAAGCAUUUAAACAGUCAACACUGAGAUGUUUUGCAGACACUCCAGGGUUUAGAUAAUUAGUUGCAACCACGUAAUGUAAGUUAGAAAGACUAACUUAGUAUAGUAUUUCUUCUAGGAUCUGAACUGGCAGGCGGAAGCAUACUUGAAGGGACAACUUUUGUAAUUCAAGACUUUUUUUUGGUUCUGGAACUUAGCCUUAUGAAUGUCAGUUUUGAGAUUAUUGGACUAUUAUAAUGUAAUAAUACUGUAAUAUGUAAACAGAUUGUAUUUUUGUUAUUUUUGCUGAAGUAUGCAAUGGGAAAGCCAUUGGAUUUGUUCACAGACUAUAGUCCAAUAGGCUACUGUACGGCAACUCUAGCAAGUAAAACCGCAGAUUAACUUAAUUUAUGAAGUAAAAUAAGGGAACAGAUCAAAUGGUUAUCACUGUGCAUUCUUUUAAGUAUACAUUCCUUCAUAAUGUAUUUGUUGACAUUUUACAGAACCAAAACACACCAAAAAAGGAAGCAAAUGGAAUAAAAGACCUUAAAUAGGAAAGCCA